rnacentral:lncRNA from 1 species
GACACCUGGGGGACACCUGAGUGACAUCAGGGUCACUGUGCCAGGUCCAGGUGACAGCCGUGUCACUGUCCCAGUGUCCGUGUGUCACUGUUCCCGUGUCCGGGUGUCACAGCAUUGUCACUGUUCCUGUGUCACUGUUCCCGUGUCCGGGUGUCACAGCCAAGUCCGGGUGUCACAGCCGUGUCACUGUUCCCAUGUCUGGGUGUCACAGCAUUGUCACUGUUCCAGUGUCACCGUUCCGUGUCCGGGUGUCACUGUUCCCGUAUGACUGUUCCUGUGUCCGGGUGUCACAACUGUGUCACUGUUCCUGUGUCACUGUUCCCGUGUUACUGUUCCCAUGUCCGGGUGUCACAGCCGUGUCCGGGUGUCACCGUUCCUGUGUCACUGUUCCCGUGUCCGGGUGUCACUGUUCUGGUGUCACUGUUCCUGUGUCACUGUUCCCGUGUCUGGGUGUCACUGUCCCCGUGUCCGGGUGUCACUGUUCCUGUGUCCAGGUGUCACAGCCAUGUCACUGUUCCUGUGUCACUGUUCCUGUGUCACUGUCCCCGUGUCCGGGUGUCACAGCCGUGUCCGGGUGUCACUGUCCCCGUGUCCCCCAGCAGGGCCACCCUGGGGCCACCAAACUCCUGUGGCGCCAUUUGGAGGGGUGACUUUGACCUGUGACGUCACCCCGAUGAUGUCAUCACUCCGUAAUGUCACCCCAAUGACAUCACUGCCCAAUGACAUCACUGCCCAAUGACAUCACCCAAAUGACAUCACUGCCCAAUGACAUCACUGCCCAAUGACAUCACAACCCCAAUGACAUCACCAUCCCAUGACGUCACCCUGAUGACAUCACCGCACAAUGACAUCACCAUCCCAUGACGUCACCCUAAUGACAUCACUUUCCAAUGACAUCACAGCCCAAUGAUAUCACCCCAAUGACAUCACCGUCACAUAAUGACAGCCAGUACAUCACAGCCUCAAGACGUCACCCCGAUGACAUCAUCCAAUGACAUCACAACCCCAAUGACAUCACCAUCCCAUGACAUCACCCUGAUGACAUCACCGCCCAAUGACAUCACCGCUCCAUGACGUCACCCUGAUGACAUCACAACCCAAUGACAUGAUCCAAUGACAUCACAACCUCAAUGAUAUCACCGUCCCAUGACGUCACCCUGAUGACAUCACCACACCAAUGACAUCAUCGCCCCAUGACAUCACCCCGAUGACAUCACCGCCCAAUGAUAUCACAGCCCAAUGACAUCACCCCAAUGACGUCACCCUAAUGACAUCACUUCCCAAUGACAUCACGCCCCCAUGACGUCACCCCAACGCCC